CCCUUAGAUGUUCUGGGCCGCACGCGCGCUACACUGAUGCGUUCAACGAGUAUACAACCUUGAUCGAUAGGUCUGGGUAAUCUUGUGAAUGCGCAUCGUGCUAGGGAUAGAUUGUUGCAAUUUUCAAUCUUGAACGAGGAAUUCCUAGUAAACGCAAGUCAUCAGCUUGCAUUGAUUACGUCCCUGCCCUUUGUACACACCGCCCGUCGCUACUACCGAUUGAAUGGUUUAGUGAGAUCCUUGGAUCGGCCCUGUCGCGGCUGGCAACGGCCGCGUCGGCGCGUCGAGAAGACGAUCAAACUUGAUCAUUUAGAGGAAGUAAAAGUCGUAACA
rnacentral:rRNA from 1 species